rnacentral:rRNA from 1 species
UACGGAAGGCAGCAGUGGGGAAUAUUGCACAAUGGGCGCAAGCCUGAUGCAGCCAUGCCGCGUGUAUGAAGAAGGCCUUCGGGUUGUAAAGUACUUUCAGUCGCGAGGAAGGUGUUAAGGUUAAUAACCUUAGCAAUUGACGUUAGCGACAGAAGAAGCACCGGCUAACUCCGUGCCAGCAGCCGCGGUAAUACGGAGGGUGCGAGCGUUAAUCGGAAUUACUGGGCGUAAAGGGCACGCAGGCGGUUAAUUAAGUUGGAUGUGAAAUCCCCGGGCUUAACCUGGGAAUGGCAUUCAAGACUGGUUAGCUAGAGUCUUGUAGAGGGGGUAGAAUUCCAUGUGUAGCGGUGAAAUGCGUAGAGAUGUGGAGGAAUACCGGGUGGCGAAGGCGGCCCCUGGGACAAAGACUGACGCUCAUGUGCGAAAGCGUGGGGAGCAAACAGGAUUAGAUACC